UGUAUGCCCUCAUAGAGCAAUAUACAGUAUGAGAAGCAAAAGGAAGAAGAAAACAGAAGGGCAGCCACCAAGGAGUAAUCAUUUCUACCAAGAGACUGGAAGAAAACCAGAAGAAAGGUUAGGGUGCUUGUUUCCCUGGUUCCCUACCUGAAAGGUUGUCUUAGGCUGGAUCUCCAUCAUUCCUAAGGCCUACCAUUUCUUGAAGAAUGAGCUUCUCUACAAGACACUCUCUUUUUCUGGAUUCUGAAUCAAGUUUCGGAGGGAUUCUGCCAAGAUGGCCUAAUAGGAACAGCUCUGGAAUGCAGUUCCUAGCGAGAGACAUGCAGAAGGUGAGUGAUCUCCACAUUUCCAACCAAGGUUCUAGGUUCAU
rnacentral:lncRNA from 13 species